rnacentral:rRNA from 1 species
GAAACGACUGCUAAGACUGGAUAGGAGAUAAGAAGGCAUCUUUUUAUUUUUAAAAGACCUAGCAAUAGGUAUGCUUAGGGAAGAGCUUGCGUCACAUUAGUUAGUUGGUGGGGUAAUGGCCUACCAAGACGAUGAUGUGUAGCCGGGCUGAGAGGUCGAACGGCCACAUUGGGACUGAGACACGGCCCAAACUCCUACGGGAGGCAGCAGUAAGGAAUUUUCGGCAAUGGAGGAAACUCUGACCGAGCAAUGCCGCGUGAACGAUGAAGUAUUUUGGUACGUAAAGUUCUUUUAUUAGGGAAGAAAAGAUGGUGGAAAAACCAUUAUGACGGUACCUAAUGAAUAAGCCCCGGCUAACUAUGUGCCAGCAGCCGCGGUAAUACAUAGGGGGCAAGCGUUAUCCGGAAUUAUUGGGCGUAAAGGGUGCGUAGGCGGUUAAAUAAGUUUAUGGUCUAAGUGCAACGCUCAACGUUGUGAUGCUAUAAAAACUGUUUAGCUAGAGUUGGAUAGAGGCAAGUGGAAUUCCGUGUGUAGUGGUAAAAUGCGUAAAUAUACGGAGGAACACCAGAAGCGAAGGCGGCUUGCUGGGUCUUAACUGACGCUGAGGCACGAAAGCGUGGGGAGCAAACAGGAUUAGAUACCCUGGUAGUCCACGCCCUAAACGAUGAGUACUAAACGUUGGAUAAAACCAGUGUUGAAGUUAACACAUUAAGUACUCCGCCUGAGUAGUACGUACGCAAGUAUGAAACUUAAAGGAAUUGACGGGACUCCGCACAAGCGGUGGAUCAUGUUGUUUAAUUCGAAGGUACCCGAAAAACCUCACCAGGUCUUGACAUGCUUUUGCAAAGCUGUAGAAAUACAGUGGAGGUUAUCAGAAGCACAGGUGGUGCAUGGUUGUCGUCAGCUCGUGUCGUGAGAUGUUGGGUUAAGUCCCGCAACGAGCGCAACCCUUGUUGUUAAUUGCCAUCAUUAAGUUGGGGACUUUAGCAAGACUGCCAAUGAUAAAUUGGAGGAAGGUGGGGACGACGUCAAAUCAUCAUGCCCCUUAUGACCUGGGCUACAAACGUGAUACAAUGGCUGUUACAAAGGGUAGCUAAAGCGUAAGCUUCUGGCGAAUCUCAAAAAAGCAGUCUCAGUUCGGAUUGAAGUCUGCAACUCGACUUCAUGAAGUUGGAAUCGCUAGUAAUCGCGAAUCAGCAUGUCGCGGUGAAUACGUUCUCGGGGUUUGUACACACCGCCCGUCA